rnacentral:rRNA from 1 species
UACGUAGGGGGCGAGCGUUGUCCGGAUUUAUUGGGCGUAAAGAGCUCGUAGGCGGUUGGGCAAGUCACGUGUGAAAUCUCCACGCUCAACGUGGAGGCGCCACGUGAGACUGCCCUGACUAGAGUCCGGUAGGGGAGCGUGGAAUUCCCGGUGUAGCGGUGAAAUGCGCAGAGAUCGGGAGGAACACCCGUAGCGAAGGCGGCGCUCUGGGCCGGUACUGACGCUGAGGAGCGAAAGCGUGGGGAGCGAACAGG